UACCCGCAGCCCUAGUGGUGAUCGUUAUUAUUGGGCCUAAAGCGUCCGUAGCCGGCUCAGUAAAUCCUUGGGUAAAUCGGGCAGCUUAACUGUCCGACUUCCGGGGAGACUGCUGAGCUUGGGACUGGGAGAGGUCGGAGGUACUCCGGGGGUAGAGGUGAAAUUCUGUAAUCCCCGGGGGACCACCAGUGGCGAAGGCGUCCGACUUGAACGGGUCCGACGGUGAGGGACGAAGCCCUGGGGCACAAACCGGAUUAGAUACCCGGGUAGUCCAGGGUGUAAACGCUGCGGGCUUGGUGUUGGGGGUCCUACGUGGGCGCUCAGUGCCGGAGAGAAGUUGUUAAGCCCGCCGCCUGGGGAGUACGGUCGCAAGACUGAAACUUAAAGGAAUUGGCGGGGGAGCACCGCAACGGGUGGAGCGUGCGGUUUAAUUGGAUUCAACGCCGAAAAACUCACCGGGGGCGACUGUUAGAUGAGGGCCAGGCUGAUGACCUUGCCUGAUUUUCAGAGAGGUGGUGCAUGGCCGCCGUCAGUUCGUACCGCAAGGCGUUCUGUUAAGUCAGAUAACGAACGAGAUCCCCGCCCUUAAUUGCCAUCUCACUCUCCGGAGUGGAGGAACAUUAAGGGGACCGCUGGCGCUAAGUCAGAGGAAGGUGGGGGCAACGGUAGGUCCGUAUGCCCCGAAUCCCCCGGGCAACACGCGCGCUACAAAGGACGGGACAAUGGGUUCCUACACCGAGAGGUGACGGUAAUCCCGAAACCCGUUCGUAGUCCGGAUUGAGGGCUGUAACCCGCCCUCAUGAAGUUGGAAUCCGUAGUAAUCGCGGGUCAACAUCCCGCGGUGAAUAUGCCCCUGCUCCU
rnacentral:rRNA from 1 species